rnacentral:rRNA from 1 species
UACGAAGGGGGGCUAGCGUUGUUCGGAAUUACUGGGCGUAAAGCGCACGUAGGCGGACUACUAAGUCAGGGGUGAAAUCCCGGGGCUCAACCCCGGAACUGCCUUUGAUACUGGUAGUCUCGAGUCCGGAAGAGGUGAGUGGAAUUCCGAGUGUAGAGGUGAAAUUCGUAGAUAUUCGGAGGAACACCAGUGGCGAAGGCGGCUCACUGGUCCGGUACUGACGCUGAGGUGCGAAAGCGUGGGGAGCAAACAGG